GACCCUCUAGCCAAUGAUGUAGCAGAACAGUGGAAAGUUAACGAAUCACAAGCCAUUCAGACAGCUAGAGCAUGGACAAAACUUUAUGCCUCGCUAGACCGAGAAUGACAAAACUGUGUAGCUAAUGAAGUGACCAUGUUUUGUUGUGAACCAGACUUUGUAGAUAACAUCCGACAAAGACACCAUGAUUUAUCCUUGGUUUCCUCAGCAACAGCUUAACAGUGGAUUGCUGUUAAGACAGUGAUAUUUACUUUCUUUAUUCGCAUUAGUAUAAGAGUAGCAUGAGUGUCCAUUUUCAUUGCAUAAUGCACUCCACUGUUCUCAGUAUUAUUGUUUUGUUUUGGUUUUUAAAUGCAUUGAGGAAAACAACCUAUUCUGUUGUCAUUGUCAUCAAAUUUCAUUUGGCAGAAGUUUAAAACAAGAAAAAUAAUUAGGUUUUCACUGAAUAUAUAGUUCUAGUAAUCUUUAUGAACUGUCCAAAAUGUUUGUAUGUAAUUGUUGAUAUAGUGAAACUAAGUUAGAUUUCUUAUCCGACAAAUGUCUUGUUCCUUUCAUUUUAAUAACACAACUCAUAUUUUGUUAUUUAUGAAUUAUCCUCAUUGAUACUUUUACUCUAUGUGAAGAAUUCUUCUUUUUGACUAUAUUUUCAGUGCUGCAAUUUAGUUGCUAAAUACUAAGUUCUAAAAUUAAAUUAAAUAAAUUACAUAAGUGCUAAUGUCCCUAAAAGUUUCAUUUAUAUGUAGAGCUAACAUACAAGCAUAAUUUCUUGUGAGAAAAAUUGUGUAUUUUGUUAAAUGUAUCUUUUUGAAAUCAAGACAUGUACAAUUGAUUUACCCCAAGUGAGUUGUGUCCAGAAGAAAAUGUCUUACCGGUAAGGGGUGAGAAUGUUAGCUUUUUCGUAACUUAUUGAAUGUGGACUUGUGUAUCAAGACAGUUUCAAUAAACUCUCAUUUGUU
rnacentral:misc_RNA from 1 species